rnacentral:rRNA from 1 species
ACGGAGCAGCAUGCUCAGUGGCGGACGGGUGAGUAACGCGUGGGAACAUACCCUUUGGUACGGAAUAGCCUCGGGAAACUGGGAGUAAUACCGUAUGUGGUCGCAAGACGAAAGAUUUAUCGCCAAAGGAUUGGCCCGCGUUGGAUUAGGUAGUUGGUGGGGUAAUGGCCUACCAAGCCGACGAUCCAUAGCUGGUUUGAGAGGAUGAUCAGCCACACUGGGACUGAGACACGGCCCAGACUCCUACGGGAGGCAGCAGUGGGGAAUCUUAGACAAUGGGGGAAACCCUGAUCUAGCCAUGCCGCGUGAUCGAUGAAGGCCUUAGGGUUGUAAAGAUCUUUCAGUUGGGAAGAUAAUGACGGUACCAACAGGAGAAGCCCCGGCUAACUCCGUGCCAGCAGCCGCGGUAAUACGGAGGGGGCUAGCGUUAUUCGGAAUUACUGGGCGUAAAGCGCACGUAGGCGGACUUGAAAGUUGGGGGUG